GUUGGUAUCGAUUAGGGGUUAAAUCACUUCGUUGUGGGAUCUGCUCCGAAGAGCCGCUGGUUCGAUUCCAGCUACCGACA
rnacentral:tRNA from 2 species